CCGAGUGAGGGCCCCGCGCCCGACCUCCAACCCUCUGUGAACGCAACACGUUGCUUCGGGGGCGACCCUGCCGUUCCGUCGGCGCGGCGCCCCCGGAGGCCUCCAAACUCUGCAUCUCUGCGUCGGAGUCACAAGUUAAUUGAACA
rnacentral:misc_RNA from 1 species